rnacentral:lncRNA from 1 species
CGAAGGCCGCAGCACCCUUUCUUUUGUGGGCCCUGAGGCCCCUGACAAGCAUUCGCGCUGCUUCGGCAUCCAUUCCUCAAAAAAAAAAAAAUGGCAAAGAAAGAGCCCCUAAGUGGCGGGAAGAAAGAUGGAGGUUCUGGGACUAACCUAGAUCGCUCUGAGGGAUGUAGAGGGGCGAGGACAGGGAUGACUCGAAGGAUGCCUAUGGCCCAAGAAGACGCCAAGAGAAACAGGGCUCUCGAAGAAAGGGCAGAUACCG